UGGCUCAAUUGUUAGAGCAUGGUGUUUGCAAUGCCAGGGUUGUGGGUUCGAUUCCCAC
rfam:Salmo salar isolate Sally breed double haploid chromosome ssa16, whole genome shotgun sequence.